UACGAAGGGGGCUAGCGUUGCUCGGAAUCACUGGGCGUAAAGGGUGCGUAGGCGGGUCUUUAAGUCAGAGGUGAAAUCCUGGAGCUCAACUCCAGAACUGCCUUUGAUACUGAGGAUCUUGAGUACGGGAGAGGUGAGUGGAACUGCGAGUGUAGAGGUGAAAUUCGUAGAUAUUCGCAAGAACACCAGUGGCGAAGGCGGCUCACUGGCCCGUUACUGACGCUGAGGCAUGAAAGCGUGGGGAGCAAACAGG
rnacentral:rRNA from 1 species